CCGAGCCCUGCCAAGGCCCCCGCCUGCCCUCAGCGGGUCCCGCCCGCCUUCCCCGAGUUGGGGGUCCACGGAAUUGGAUUGCUCGUUAAUUAGCAGCGGUUAGAGAAUUUGGGUGUCUCUCAGCCCGGGCCGACCGGCCUCGUCAGCCUCCCUAAUCCGGAGCCUCCUCCCCUCCUCCCCUCCCUCCAUGUUCUCCGGAUAAGCUCCGGGUUUCUACUGAGGGCGGGCGGGCGGCCAGCUGGGGAUGGGGUGGCUCGCGGAAUGCAGGGAAAGGGGUCUCUGGAGGGAAGAAUUCCGCCGAAGUUGCCAGGAGGUGUUUCUGUCUCGAAGCGGGAGGCUCUGUGCGGAGGGGGUCUGCAUAGACGCGGCUGGGCUGUGGGGUGGGGCAGAGAGACCGUAGAUCGCGGACAGAGGACCGAAGAGAGACGGGGCUGAGGAGCUGCGGCAGAAGGGAAGGAGCGAGAGAAGGCAAGAGGCCGAGCCGCACCGUCCCCGGUUCCCUCCGCGCCAGGAGCCUCCGAGACUCGGCCCAGCCCGCUGCCGCGACCCCGCGGGCCUCCGCCGCCCCUCGGCCCAGGCCUCCGGCCGCGCUCCCCGAUCCAUCAGCCGGUUCUGCUGUCGGAGACUCAACCCUGGAGAACAUCAAGUGGGCGGUCUUCGGCAGGCUAUCGGAAGAAUUGUCGGUUUCACUGUUUGAGUCCUUCAAGAGUGAUGAGCCCUCCAUUUUGGACUUCCCUGAUGGUGCAGUGGUGAAGAAUCUGCCUGCCAAUGGAGGGGAUGCGGGUUCGAGCCCGGGUCCGGGAAGAUCCCACAUGCUGCGGAGCAACUAAGCCCGUGCGCCACAACUACUGAGCCUGCACUCUAGAGCCCGCAAGCCAUGACUACUGAAGCCUGUGCGCCUAGAGUCUGUGCUCCACAACAAGAGAAGCCACAGCAAUGAGAAGCCCGUGCACUGCAACAGAGUGGCCCCACUCGCCACAACUAGAGAAAACCCGCAUGCAGCAACGAAGACCCAACGCAGCCGAAAAUAAAUAAAUUUAUAUUAAAAACAUCAUUUAAAAAUUUUAAUUUAAUUUAAAUCAAUUUAAAUUAAAAUAGUCACAUGUGGCUAGUGGCUUCCGAUUGAGCAAUGCAGGUUUAAACAUGUUAUUUUAUUUAAUCUUUACAAUUAUCUUGAGAAGUAAGUAUGAUUGCCCCCAUUUUACAAAUGAAGAAGAGUGGCUAAAAAUGGGACCACCCUCCAAUCUAGAUCACCUUUUCAUGACUUCCCCCGCACCAUAGCAUUUACUGCCUUCUAAUAUAAUUUACUGAUGUACUAUGCCUGUCUCCUCAGCCAAAAUAUAAGUUCUCUGAAGGCAAGAAUCUUUGAAACAUCCCAGAGCCUCAAACAGUGCCUGGCACAUGGUAGGAUAUCAAUGAAAUUCUGUUGAAUAAAUGAACACACAUGCUCAAGGUACUUCUGCCUUUGCAGCAGGAGGGCUGGAUUCUAACCUGAGACCCUUUGCUUCCAAAGCCUGAGUUCUUUCCCUUGAAGCCAUUUUCUCUUAAGUAGUCUCCCCAGCUCCCUCCCCAAGUUCUCUUCCUUGGUGAC